AGAGCGAACGCUGGCGGCAGGCCUAACACAUGCAAGUCGAGCGCCCGUAGCAAUACGGGAGCGGCAGACGGGAUAGUAACACGUGGGAACGCGCCCUUCGGUUCGGAAUAACUCAGGGAAACUUGAGCUAAUACCGGAUACGCCCUUACGGGGAAAGAUUUAUUGCCGAAGGAACGGCCCGCGUCCGAUUAGCUAGUUGGUGAGGUAAUGGCUCACCAAGGCGACGAUCGGUAGCUGGUCUGAGAGGAUGACCAGCAUCACUGGGACUGAGACACGGCCCAGACUCCUACGGGAGGCAGCAGUGGGGAAUAUGGACAAUGGGCGCAAGCCUGAUCCAGCCAUGCCGCGUGGAUGAUGAAGGCCUUAGGGUUGUAAAGUCCUUUUAACGGGGAAGAUAAUGACGGUACCGUAGAAUAAGCCCCGGCUAACUUCGUGCCAGCAGCCGC
rnacentral:rRNA from 1 species